rnacentral:rRNA from 1 species
UACGUAGGGUGCAAGCGUUGUCCGGAAUUAUUGGGCGUAAAGAGCUCGUAGGCGGUUUGUCGCGUCGGCUGUGAAAACUCGGGGCUCAACCCCGAGCCUGCAGUCGAUACGGGCAGACUAGAGUGCUGUAGGGGAGACUGGAAUUCCUGGUGUAGCGGUGAAAUGCGCAGAUAUCAGGAGGAACACCGGUGGCGAAGGCGGGUCUCGUGGGCAGUAACUGACGCUGAGGAGCGAAAGCGUGGGGAGCAAACAGG